ACCCACGUCAUUGGGGAGUAGCCUGUUCUGGAGAUUACGUCCAGAAAGUCCGUAUCAACAUACUCGUUUGAAUUUAAACGUGGUGCGGACACCAUCUUGGUUGGCAAGACCAUAGACACAUAAAUAAGCCUUUUGGUUGGGGGUAAUUUAUGUGUAUAUGGAUUCGCCAACCGAGGU
rnacentral:sRNA from 2 species